AGCGGGCGGCGUGGGAGCGGGCGGCGUGCGAGCGAGCACGUGCGACCGUGCGAGCGGGCGGCGUGCGAGCGGGCGGCGUGCGAGCGGGGGCGGCAGAGUGGUUAGCCUCGUCCUCUGCUCUUGGUCCCGGCGAUGACCAGCAGGGGUCACACUUUUAAACACAGACUUUUUUAACAUGUAAAAAAAAAACAGUUUUUACUUAAACGCUCCAUAAAAGUUUGUUUAAAUGGCACUUUUCUAAACCUCUGCCAAGGCACUGGCCCCGUCUCGCAACGGCCCCGACUGAAAUAUCCAAACCUCCUGAUGUGUGAAGAUUCUGCACUUCACACACAGACUCACACUCACACACACAGACACACACAGUACACACACACUCACACACACAGACACACACAGGUACACACACACUCACACACACAGACACACACAGGUACACACACACUCACACACACAGACACACACAGGUACACACACACUCACACACACAGACACACACACACACAGACUCACACACUCACUCACACAGACACACUCAGGUACACACACUCACACACACACAGACACACACAGACUCACACACACACGCAGACACACACACACACAGACUCACACACUCACUCACAUAGACACACUCAGGUACACACACUCAGGUACACACACUCUGUUACAUGAGAGUUUUAAUCUAAUAUAAUUGACAUGAUCUUUUAAAAGGACAAAACGCUUCAUUCUUAAUGAACGUGAUGAUUUUCAGUUCAUCUUAAUUCUGAAGUGUUUUAUUCUGAUUUUAAAUCUGAGUGAAUUUAUUCCUGGAUCAUGUUUGUCGUUUCUUCUUGUUAAAAAUAACGUCGGUGUUUUGGCGCCUGAUCGUUGUGUCGCCCCUCGAAACCAGGACUAAACCAGGUCUAAACCAGGACUGAACCAGGUCUAAACCAGGUCUAAACCAGGUCUAAACCAGGUCUAAACCAGGACUAAACCAGGACUAAACCAGGACUAAACCAGGUCUAAACCAGGUCUAAACCAGGUCUAAACCAGGUCUAAACCAGGACUAAACCAGGUCUAAACCAGGUCUAAACCAUUAAAUAAAAAACAUUUCUCCAGUUUAACACAAAACAACAAUUCAACUUUAUUAUUUACACGGAAACAACAACGACAAGAUUUGAAUUUAACAAAAAAAACCUCAUGUAAAAGACCUCGUGUAAACGUGGCCCGAGUCGCUCGGACUAAAUCUGAGACUCGACUCAAAUUUAAACUUUAAACACAAAAAGACCAAGUGAACAAACGUGUGAACAGAAUCUUCACCUCAGGAGGUUUGACUGGUGUUUUUAUUUUGACCUCGUAUGAUUUUUGUGUGUUUGUUUUUUUGUUUUUGUUGUUGUGUUUUUUGUUUUUCAGCUGAAUCACUCGAGUCUCCAGUUUUUGUCCUGGUGAAAAAAAAGUUUUUAUUUAUUCAGACUUUUACCCAAAGCCUCAGAAAGUGGCUCCUCAAGUUAAAGCUGCACUGUGUCACUUUUCUGCUGGAGGGUCCGUUAAACAUUUUUCUCCACGGAGAUGUUGUUGCUUUGUCUGAAAUGUCCCACAGUACGGCAUUAAACUACAACGUUCUAUCUCCAUGGAGACCAAACCAGACCAAGAUCCAGGUCAGAGCUGAUGAUUCAGAUCGAGGGAUUUUUGACCCUAAAACCUCCUGUAAUUAAAUAAACGUGAAGUGGAGCUGUUUAAAGUCACACCGUGGAACAUUCCAGACGGAGCAGUGACGUCUCCAUGGAAACGAGCAGCUGAAGAACCCACAACCGAGAAGUUCCACAGUGCAGCUUUCAGUCAUAAACCUGUGUUUGUGGAAAUGAUGAUUCUUAAUGUUUUAGUUUUUUUUUUGUGGACAGUUCGGUUCCUUCUGUCUCAGAGUCGUUACUGAAAAAGAGUUUUAUUUUUUCUGUAAUUUCAUAAAUAAAAGAAAAUUCUAUGAAAAUAUUGGAUCUUUAAA